rnacentral:rRNA from 1 species
GACGAACGCUGGCGGCGUGCUUAACACAUGCAAGUCGAACGGGUCUGCCCUGUUUUUUGCGGGGUGGGUCAGUGGCGAACGGGUGAGUAACACGUGAGUAACCUGCCCCUCACUUCUGGAUAACCGCUUGAAAGGGUGGCUAAUACGGGGUGUUCUGGCUGUGCCGCAUGGUGUGGCUGGGAAAGAUUCACUUUUGUGGUGUUUUGGUGGGGGAUGGGCUCGCGGCCUAUCAGCUUGUUGGUGGGGUGAUGGCCUGCCAAGGCUUUGACGGGUAGCCGGCCUGAGGGGGUGGGCGGUCACACUGGGACUGAGAUACGGCCCAGACUCCUGCGGGAGGCAGCAGUGGGGGGUAUUGCACAAUGGGCGGAAGCCUGAUGCAGCGACGGCGCGUGAGGGAUGGAGGCCUUCGGGUUGUGAACCUCUUUCGCCGGUGAAGAAGGUCCUGCUCUUUGUGGUGGGGUUGACGGUAGCCGGGUUAUGAAGCGCCGGCUAACUACGUG